rnacentral:rRNA from 1 species
GGGAAUCUUGCACAAUGGGGGCAACCCUGAUGCAGCGACGCCGCGUGAGCGAUGAAGCCCUUCGGGGCGUAACGCUCUUUCGACCGGAACGAUAAUGACGGUACCGGGAGAAGAAGCUGCGGCUAACUACGUGCCAGCAGCCGCGGUAAUACGUAGGCAGCAAGCGUUGUUCGGAGUUACUGGGCGUAAAGAGUGCGUAGGCGGUUUUCUAAGUUCGGUGUGAAAUCUCCCGGCUUAACUGGGAGGGUGCGCCGAAGACUGGGAAGCUGGAGUGUGGGAAAGGCAGGCGGAAUUCCUGGUGUAGCGGUGAAAUGCGUAGAUAUCAGGAGGAACACCGGCGGUGUAGACGGCUUGCUAGACCAUAACUGACGCUGAGGCACGAAAGCGUGGGUAGCAAACA